GAAGUGCAGCGCUUCCUAGACUUCACUCAUCCUGUGAAAUCGAGACAUGCUGGCUCUCAGUGAUGCUUAGACAGAAAACCACGCACCCCACACAGAGGAUGGAACCAGCCACUUCCCGGUUGUCAUGAGGAGCCAUGAUUUCUCCAGGAGCUGGGAUUCCAGCUGGCUGUUCCAAUCCAGGAGGAAAACUGAGCCACCAAAAUCUCCCAGCACCUGUGCAGUGAAGUGCCACUUAAAUCUGAUGUGAUGCACAGACCUUGCCCUGGCUGUCUGCACAGGGCUGAAUUUCACCCCGUCAGAGUGUAUUCUAAGGGCCCGCCGUGCAUCAUAUGGGCAUUCUUGGGGGUGCAGAUGGCAUCAGACCUGCACCUGAAUAAAUAAUAGGGAAUGAAAUAUGCAGACACUAAAGUUCUGCAGCCAAAUUCUCAGAAACCUUCCUCUUCCAUAUAGGAUCAGGAUUUUGGUUUGAAUUGAUUUUUUUAAAAAAAAAGUGCUAAGCAGAUGCUACACUGUAAGAAGAGGAAAGAGAAUCAAAAACUGAAAGAUUGUUAC